rnacentral:lncRNA from 1 species
UUCAGAUUCACAAUAUAGGACUUUAUAUCUUGUUUAGCUUGGACCACAAUUAGCUGAAAGAAGAGCUCUUGAGCUGGUUUAAAGCCAACAGUCUUAACUUCCCCAGGUGUAGUUAAUUGUUACUCAACAUAGCUUAACAUUGGUGAGCUAAAUGGCAGGUGGGAAGCUUUUGUAAUCAACAGCAGAGCAGCUGCUCCUUCCUUCCUUCCUUCCUUCCUUCCUUCCUUCCUUCCUUCCUUCCUUCCUUCCCUCCUUCCCUCCUUCCCUCCUUCCCUCCUUCCCUCCUUCCCUCCUUCCCUCCUUCCCUCCUUCCUUCCCUCCCUCCCCAUCUGUCCAGAAGGCUUUGAGAAGCAGGUGUUACUAGAACAGACAGCCUAGCCAAGACCAGUGACAACCAGAAAACACCAAGUCUGUCCUGAGAAUUCAAAAGUUCAGUCUUGGGUAUUCAUCCCACCUUCACAGACUGCCCAUAAUCUGCUGCUUGUUUUCACUGACGA